rnacentral:lncRNA from 10 species
CUACUUUUUAUGUCCAUUCCUACGGCUGCAGGGCCAUGUCCUGUGAUUGGCAGCUCCUCAGAACCACAUGGAGUGGAAGAGCUGUUCCUAGAAAUAGGGUGCUUGUUAUUCUGAGAGGACAAGAAUGACAGCCACGUCAUCUGGAGAAGGCAGCCAGGGAAGUAGUCAAGAGAAAACACUUCUGUGGGUGACUUGAAGAAGCUGGUUACCAUAUGGUUGUUGGCCAAGCUUUGCUGGCUUUUUUGCAGCUUUCUGUUCCCGCAAGUUACUCCCCCAAAUCCUACCUAUUUUAAAAGCAACUCUCACAGGAAGAAAGGCUUGGUAGCCAACAGAUGACCACCACAUUCUCUCCCCCAAGACGUCUGAUUUCAGAAGAAAUUCAAGAAUGAAUAUUUACUGCCUAUAUCUGACAGAAGAAUCCCAUUUCUCAUGAGAAAAUCAAUGGAUAAUACUCAGCGUUUCUUCAAAACCAAAACUUCCUUUAUCAAAACCUGUAGAACACAGGUUUCAGCAAACUUCGUAAAAUAUUCAGAUCAAAUUUGGGUUUGUUAUUGAUUUUCAGGGGGAUUAAUCUCUUUUAUAUUAAAAGCUCAUUUGGUCACAAGUAAU